rnacentral:snoRNA from 1 species
AGUCCCAGUUACUGGCCCUUGGCGGCUGUAUACAUCGAUGCCGCUCCACAGGAUACCCAUUGAGGCCAGA